GGGAACAUACUUCAGUCUGGCCUAGGGUUGAGCGGUAAACUGGUGUCCACGAUAUACCGCGGUAUUAAGAAACGGCAUUAUCCCCGUUUCCAAAUAACCGCGGUAUUUGGUGACGUCAUAGGAGCGGUCAUAUGCGUGCUGACCGCUCCUAAAUCUG